rnacentral:lncRNA from 1 species
UGACAACUGUUGAGUAAAGCGCCCACCUCCAGCUGAUGACCACAUCUCUUAUGUCCAGUUUCUGUGAUAUCUGUGUGUUGAGACAGAGCUAGAGUUGCAAGGUGGUUAUAAAAAUUUGACUUAUGAAUAAAUAAUCUUACAAGGCAUAACUAGAACAUGUGAGAGGUCAACUGCAAAGGAGACUCCACCAAGCUGCAUCUAGUCUGGCAAGAAUCUCUAGAGAGAAUAAUGGUCAUGGUGGGCCAGAAUUCCUCGGUCUUUGUAUCUUCACCAUGCUCAGCAUGAAUGUGGCUUAGGAACAGAGUGACUUCCAAAACUGGAGGAAAUACUAAAGGAGGAGACCUCCCUGCCAUUUAUGCCUGACCCCAAAUCUAUAAAUACUCCUGGAAAGAAAUAAUAACCUACCAAAUGACAAGGAGUGGAGUGAAGAGAGAAUGAAUUGAAGGGUCUGAAGCUGCUUGCUUCAUCGCUUUUGGUCAUUUAGCAGGAUGUUGGCCUAGCAGUUUUGAAAUAGGUCAACAGAAAAUCUACCUCACAGCAGAAGGUAUCUCUGCUUCUGUAACUGGUCAACUAGGGCUGAACUGCAGCUCUUUAAGGAAAGAAGAAAAUUAAAUACGGAAACAAAACUACCUGUGCUCUUUGCACAAUUCUGGGACUCUGCCCCCAGGUCAGGUCAGAAAGGUAUGCAAUCGGCUUCAUGUUAGUAAGCUUUCACACAGUUUGU